rnacentral:rRNA from 1 species
UAAUACGAAGGGGGCUAGCGUUGUUCGGAAUUACUGGGCGUAAAGCGCACGUAGGCGGACAUUUAAGUCAGGGGUGAAAUCCCGGGGCUCAACCUCGGAACUGCCUUUGAUACUGGGUGUCUUGAGUGUGGAAGAGGUCAGUGGAAUUGCGAGUGUAGAGGUGAAAUUCGUAGAUAUUCGCAGGAACACCAGUGGCGAAGGCGGCUGACUGGUCCACAACUGACGCUGAGGUGCGAAAGCGUGGGGAGCAAACAGG